AGUGGCGGACGGGUGAGUAACACGUGAGCAACCUACCUUCAAGAGGGGGAUAGCACCUGGAAACGGGUGGUAAUACCGCAUAAGACCACGGAGCCGCAUGGCUUUGGGGUCAAAGGAGCAAUCCGCUUGAAGAUGGGCUCGCGUCCGAUUAGAUAGUUGGUGAGGUAACGGCUCACCAAGUCGACGAUCGGUAGCCGGACUGAGAGGUUGAACGGCCACAUUGGGACUGAGACACGGCCCAGACUCCUACGGGAGGCAGCAGUGGGGGAUAUUGCACAAUGGGCGAAAGCCUGAUGCAGCGACGCCGCGUGAGGGAAGACGGCCUUCGGGUUGUAAACCUCUGUCAUUCGGGACGAAUCAGAUGACGGUACCGAAGAAGGAAGCUCCGGCUAACUACGUGCCAGCAGCCGCGGUAAUACGUAGGGAGCGAGCGUUGUCCGGAAUUACUGGGUGUAAAGGGAGCGUAGGCGGGAAAGCAAGUUGGAAGUGAAAUGCGUGGGCUCAACCCAUGAGCUGCUUUCAAAACUGUUUUUCUUGAGUGAAGUAGAGGCAGGCGGAAUUCCUAGUGUAGCGGUGAAAUGCGUAGAUAUUAGGAGGAACACCAGUGGCGAAGGCGGCCUGCUGGGCUUUAACUGACGCUGAGGCUCGAAAGCGUGGGUAGCAAACAGGAUUAGAUACCCUGGUAGUCCACGCUGUAAACGAUGAUUACUAGGUGUGGGGGAUU
rnacentral:rRNA from 1 species